rnacentral:rRNA from 1 species
CUAGACGAGUUUGAUCAUGGCUCAGAACGAACGCUGGCGGCAGGCCUAACACAUGCAAGUCGAGCGCCCCGCAAGGGGAGCGGCGGACGGGUGAGUAACGCGUGGGAACGUACCCUUUGCUACGGAAUAGCCUCGGGAAACUGGGAGUAAUACCGUAUGUGCCCUUCGGGGGAAAGGAUUUAUCGGCAAAGGAUCGGCCCGCGUUGGAUUAGGUAGUUGGUGGGGUAAUGGCCUACCAAGCCGACGAUCCAUAGCUGGUUUGAGAGGAUGAUCAGCCACACUGGGACUGAGACACGGCCCAGACUCCUACGGGAGGCAGCAGUGGGGAAUCUUAGACAAUGGGCGCAAGCCUGAUCUAGCCAUGCCGCGUGAGCGAUGAAGGCCUUAGGGUUGUAAAGCUCUUUCAGUGGGGAAGAUAAUGACUGUACCCACAGAAGAAGCCCCGGCUAACUCCGUG